AAAAAAAAGGGAUGAAAAGUUAAAGUAUGGGAAUCAAAGUCUUGAAAUUGAAGCAGCCAUAAUCAAAGAAACGGACGUUAAUACUUAUUGAGGAGAUGCUGCCCAAACAUGGCGUAUUGAUUGAUAUGAUUAAACACAACCCAAUAGCACGCAACAAGUUUUUGUCAGCAUUUGUGACGUCGAAUUUAAAAAUGAUCCUCCCAUUCGAUUCAUUUAACCUACGCAUCCGUAUUGGCUUCUCUGAUCGGUUCUUUCGCCCACCCGUUUGACAUUUUUCCAUUUUUCCUUCUUAAAAUACAAUAAAACACAUAUCCCUCUCUUCCCCUUUUCCCUUCUCGAUCGCCACACUCACCCAAUAAGCGCCUGGAUCUGUUUCCUUCUAUCUGGGUUUUCAGCUCUUGGCGGAUUUUGCUCAGAUAAGUGAUUUUGCUUCUUUGUUGAUUGUUGAUUGUGUUGCUCUUUCAAGGGUUCUUUCUCUUAUCUUACCUCUUUUUCCAGUUUAAUCGCUCUUGUCCAAUACUUGAGUUUAGUUGUGUUUGAAGGGGUUUCUCUUGGUUCUGGGCAAAUGGGGUUUGUUUGAAAGAAAUUUCCUAUUAUCUAGUGGGGAAAUUUCGGUUUGGGUGUGCUUGAUUUGUCCAUUCUGUAAUCUUAGGGAUGAUUAUUUGGUGAUUUUAAUAGUUUAAGGAUCCUGUGGAAGAUGGGAUUCUGGGGUAUGUUUUUUUGAGUAUGAGGUGAAGUGUUCUUUUGAAAUAUAUGGAAGGGAAUUUAUCACAAGGAGGGUUGAUUCCAGGAGGGAGUUCUUAUGGAGGUCUUGAUUUGCAAGGACCGUUUAAGGUUCAUAAUCAGGGACAGCACUCUCAUGCCUUACACCAACAGCAUCAUCCUCAUACUCGUCAGGGAUCAUCAGCUAAUCCCUCCAUUCAGGAGGGAUUUUCACUUUCCAUGGGAGUUGUACAAAAUUGUGACCAUACCAUGUCUUUGGUAGAGUAUAACAAGGGAGAAAGGUGUAAAAACUCCGCCAGCGACGAAGAUCCGAGUUUUAAUGAGGAUAGUAUCGAUGGUCACAAUGAGAAUAGUAAGGGGAAGAAGGGAUCGAUGUGGCACCGCGUGAAAUGGACGGAUAAAAUGGUGAAGCUUCUGAUUACAGCAGUGUCUUAUAUAGGAGAUGAUAUUGCUUCAGAUAUUGAUGGGAGUGGAAGAAGGAAAUGCCAAAUUAUACAGAAGAAAGGUAAAUGGAAACUGAUAUCAAAAGUCAUUGCUGAAAGGGGUUAUCAAGUUUCACCCCAGCAGUGUGAGGAUAAAUUUAAUGAUCUCAAUAAGAGGUAUAAGAGGCUCAAUGAUAUAAUUGGGAGAGGCACUUCUUGUCAGGUUGUCGAGAACCCAGCACUUCUUGAUGUCAUUGAUUAUUUAACUGAAAAAGAUAAGGAUGAUGUGAGAAAAAUUUUAAACUCAAAGCAACUGUUCUAUGAGGAGAUGUGUUCUUAUCAUAACUCAAAUCGACUUCAUCUGCCCCAUGAUCCUGCUUUGCAGCGUUCGUUGCAGCUGGCUUUUAGAGCAAGGGAUGAUCACGAUAAUGACGAGCCAAGAAGACAUCAAAAUGAUGAUUUUGAUGAACACGAACCUGGUGAAACUGAUGAACACGAUGAUUAUGAGGAGAAUUUUGUACCCCAUACGGACAAUAGGCGAUCGCUUGGGGUAUUAGGAGGUUCAGUGAAGAGGCUAAAACGAGGCCAAGACCAUGAUGAUGCACAUGCGUGUGGUAAUUCCUUGAGUCCUCUUGAUUGCAACAAAAGUUCUCAUCCUCACUCACAAGCACAAUUUGCUCAAGCUGAUACAGCUCAUUUAGAAACUGAAAGUAUGAAAGCUUCUACAUCGCAAAAGCAGUGGAUGGAGCUUCGCUUACUUCAAUUGGAAGAUCAGAAGCUUCAAAUUCAAGUUGAAAUGUUGGAACUGGAGAAACAAAAGUUUAAGUGGGAGAGAUUUAACAAGAAAAAAGACCGUGAGUUGGAAAAAAUGAGGAUGGUAAAUGAGAAGAUGAAGCUUGAAAAUGAGCGCCUUGCACUUGACUUAAAGCAAAAGCAAAUUGGAUCAGGAUUCCAUUAAUUAGCUGACAUGAUCUGAAUUAAUUCUAUCAGAUAGAGAAGAUCUUUAAAUUUAGAGAAGUUGCAACAUCUCUGACUCGCAGGUUGUUUUUCCCUCUUGUGUAUACUGAUCCUUCUAGCACAUUUCUUCAUCAUCCAAUUCUGAUAGAACACUGCUACUUGAAGAGCUUGAGUUGGCUUGCCCGCUCCAGGGAUUAUUGCUUAGGAAACAACUGUUGGAAGAAGAGAAAUUAGUAUAGUUCAGUGCAAAGUUACAUUUUCCUUGCCACUCUUUGCUGCAGCAUCCAUAUAGCAGUCAUGAAAUGAUGAUGCUAUGCACUUGCUGCUUUUCAUCUUACCUAAAAGUUCUGUGAAUUAUCUGACACGGCCUUAGAGCUAUGGAUGAAGAUGUAGAUCGAUCACCCUAUUUGGACAACUACAUAGAGGGUCUUAAGUGAAAGUUGUUGUCAUUCCAUUACAUAGAAAGACAUGGAAGUUGGCCGUAGCUUUCAGAGAUAGGGGGAGUGUUGAUUAAACCACAUGCUCCACUUCUUGUGUAGGCCCUCUUCAAUUCCUUUGAGUUUUGCUAUACUCGAACCUACCUUACACGAGAAUCUUUUUAAAAGGAUGUGUUUGAUGAGAAAGAAAAAAGAUCAUUGAAUUGACAUGGAGGGACUUGAAUCUUGGAUGAACUAGACUUCAUCACUUGGAACUGUUACAAGGGUUUUACAGUUUGAACUGUGAAGCAAGCACCGGGGUGUUCGAACAAGUCUAACCACCGAAUUCACAUACUUUGCAAACCUUGUUGACUGUGAUUGAAAAUUAUGAGUUAAAAGAAGCAUGCAUCAAUUACAAAAAGAUUAGCCUUACCUCAGGUUUUUGUUUUUGUGUUUGUGAUGAACGUUUUGAACUAUAAAUUGUGAAUUAAAGCAGGUCACAUUGUAAUGGCAAAGGGGCAGAAGAGGUAGAAACUUGGGGAUUGUUUAUUUGGUGCUUUAUUUACUGUUUAUUCAGGUAGGAUCAAGGACCACCCACAAGCAUUUCUAGCAGGUGCUAAAUGCUGUUAUCUUUUUUUGUCUAUAAUGACCUUCAAUGUGGACAAAAAAAACUUUUCUUUUAAUCAUAUUUUUAUUUUCAAGUAUCUGUUUUGUACAUCGGAACUUUUGUAAAAAUUGUAUUAAUUUAAAUUAUGAACUAAUAAUUGUAUCAUUUUAAA